GAAAAGAAAGUGUACCAAUCCGGCAAACAAAGCAAAAACAACGGCUCCUACAUAAAUACAAUAGAGUUGAAAUAUUGUCACUAGAACGGACCACACAAAUAACAUCUUUCUAGCCGCCUAAAGGAAGUAUUCAAAGAUAAGAUAACGCUAUGCGCACACAAGCUAACUUCAGGUAUGCAGUUAGUUCUCAAGCGAUUCCUUCGGAUCUUAGGUGCGACCUUAGGGAGCUUGUUUUGGCAGCUACUCUCUUAUAGUUAUGUGUCCUGGUUGAAGCGAUUCCUUCAGAUCUUAGGUGCGACCUUAGGGAGCUUGUUUUGGCAGCUACUCUCUUAUCGUUAUGUGUCCUGGUUUCCGAGUUCUAGUUCAAGGCAGGGCAGGACGGGACUCACGGGGGUUGGGGGGAGCCUUCCCCCAGGGAAAACCUAAUAAGACUCAUUCUAAUACUUGAGUUCAAGCUCCUA
rnacentral:lncRNA from 1 species